AUUGAACGCUGGCGGCAGGCUUAACAAAUGCAAGUCGAACGAGCGGCGGACGGGUGAGUAAUGUAUGGGGACUGCCCGAUAGAGGGGGAUAACUACUGGAAACGGUGGCUAAUACCGCAUACUAUCGGAUAACCCAUAUGGGAUUAGCUAGUAGGUGGGGUAAAGGCUCACCAAGGAGACGAUCUCUUGCUGGUCUGAGAGGAUGAUCAGCCCAACUGGGACUGAGACACGGCCCAGACUACUACGGAGGCAGCAGUGGGGAAUAGGGCACAAUGGGCGCAAGUCUUAUGCAGCCAUGCCGCUUGUAUGACGAAGGCCUUCGGGUUGGAAAGUACUGUCAGCGGGGAGGCGUUACCCACAGAAGAAGCACCGGCUAACUCCGUGCCAGCAGCCGCGGUAAUUC
rnacentral:rRNA from 1 species